CACCAGCAGUAUGAAACUUGGGUCGUGAAUACCCAUCGAUCAGAGACAGGUUCGUAUCCAUGAAUCUUGAUUCCUGAUCGAAACUCCUGAUUGUCGUCGAUCCUGAUAAAGAUUCAGCAAAGUCCCUAACGUUGGGAGCCUUGCAAACUCCAACAAGACGUGCUAACUCUCGUGCUGUCGGGACGUAAUAUUGCUGUGGAAUGACAAACAUAAGCAACAUCAGAGGAAGUUACCUGAAGAUUUAUCAUGUUACAGUAUCAUUCUAUUAGGGAUUGAAGUGAUCCAUGAUCAGAUUGUGUACAUAUAUAUCUUAGAAGAUUAGCAAACAUUUAAAAAAAUAAUUAAAAACUAAA